rnacentral:rRNA from 1 species
GCCCUUCCGAAUUCGUCGACAACAGAGUUUGAUCCUGGCUCAGGAUGAACGCUGGCGGCGUGCUUUAUGCAUGCAAGUCGAACGAGAAGGGUCUGGCUUCGGCCGGGCCCGGAGAGUGGCGAACGGGUGAGUAACACGUGAGUGACCUGCCCCGGGCAGGGGGAUAACCAUGGGAAACCAUGGCUAAUACCCCGUAGUCCUGGCCGUAUUGGAAACGGUUAGGUAUAGCUCCGGCGGCCUG